UACGGAGGGUGCAAGCAUUGAUCGGAGUUACUGGGCGUAAAGGGCGCGUAGGCGGCAAUGAAAGUCAGAUGUGAAAUUCCGGGGCUCAACCCCGGAGCUGCAUUUGAAACUUCAUAGCUAGAGUUCAGUUAGGGUAAACGGAAUUCCACGUGUAGCGGUGAAAUGCGUAGAUAUGUGGAAGAACACCGGUGGUGAAGACGGUUUACUGGGCUGAUACUGACGCUGAGGCGCGAAAGCAUGGGGAGCAAACAGG
rnacentral:rRNA from 1 species